CCUCCUGGGCCUGCUGCGGCGAGAUGAAGUGGAUGUGGGUGUCCACGCCGCCGGCGGUGGCGACCAGGUGCUCACCGGAGAUGACCUCGGUGCCGGGGCCGAUCACCAGCUUCGGGUCGACACCGUUCUGCAGAUGCGGGUUGCCGGCCUUGCCGACGCCCACGAUCAGACCGCCCCGGACGCCGAUGUCGCCCUUGACGAUGCCGAGCACCGGGUCCAUCACCACCACGUUGGUGAUGACCAGGUCCAGCGCGCCCUCGCGGCCCAGCGCGGCGGGGUCCUGGGCCAUGCCGUCCCGGAUG
rnacentral:sRNA from 1 species